rnacentral:rRNA from 1 species
CUACACAUGCAGUCGAACGCUGAAGCUUGGUGCUUGCACUGGGUGGAUGAGUGGCGAACGGGUGAGUAUCACGUGAGUAACCUGCCCCUGACUUCGGGAUAAGCCUGGGAAACUGGGUCUAAUACCGGAUAUGACCAUCUUUCGCAUGUUGGGUGGUGGAAAGUUUUUUCGGUUGGGGAUGGGCUCGCGGCCUAUCAGUUUGUUGGUGGGGUAAUGGCCUACCAAGACGACGACGGGUAGCCGGCCUGAGAGGGCGACCGGCCACACUGGGACUGAGACACGGCCCAGACUCCUACGGGAGGCAGCAGUGGGGAAUAUUGCACAAUGGGGGGAACCCUGAUGCAGCGACGCCGCGUGGGGGAUGACGGCCUUCGGGUUGUAAACCUCUUUCAGUAGGGAAGAAGCCUUUGGGUGACGGUACCUGCAGAAGAAGUACCGGCUAACUACGUGCCAGCAGCCGCGGUAAUACGUAGGGUACAAGCGUUGUCCGGAAUUAUUGGGCGUAAAGAGCUCGUAGGUGGUUUGUCGCGUCUGCUGUGGAAUCGUGCCGCUUAACGGUGCGCGUGCAGUGGGUACGGGCAGACUGGAGUGCAGUAGGGGAGUCUGGAAUUCCUGGUGUAGCGGUGAAAUGCGCAGAUAUCAGGAGGAACACCGGUGGCGAAGGCGGGACUCUGGGCUGUUACUGACGCUGAGGAGCGAAAGCAUGGGGAGCGAACAGGUUA